rnacentral:rRNA from 1 species
AUACGGAGGGGGCUAGCGUUGUUCGGAAUCACUGGGCGUAAAGCGCGCGCAGGCGGCUAUUUAAGUUGGAUGUGAAAGCCUACGGCUCAACCGUAGAACUGCAUCCAAAACUAUUUAGCUAGAGUGUGGGAGAGGAAGAUGGAAUUAGUUGUGUAGGGGUAAAAUCCGUAGAGAUAACUAGGAAUACCAAAAGCGAAGGCAAUCUUCUGGAACACUACUGACGCUGAGGCGCGAAAGCGUGGGGAGCAAACGGGAUUAGAUACCCCAGUAGUCC